rnacentral:rRNA from 1 species
UACAGGGGGUGCAAACGUUGCUCGGAAUUAUUGGGCGUAAAGAGCUCGUAGGCGGUUUGUCGCGUCUGCUGUGAAAGACCGGGGCUCAACUCCGGUUCUGCAGUGGGUACGGGCAGACUAGAGUGCAGUAGGGGAGACUGGAAUUCCUGGUGUAGCGGUGAAAUGCGCAGAUAUCAGGAGGAACACCGAUGGCGAAGGCAGGUCUCUGGGCUGUAACUGACGCUGAGGAGCGAAAGCAUGGGGAGCGAACAGG